rnacentral:rRNA from 1 species
GGGGCAGCGGGGUUGUAUCAAUACAACUGCCGUGUCUACCGGCGCACGGGUGAGUAACACGUAUGUAACCUGCCCUCUGCAGGGGGAUAAGCGGAAGAAAUUCCGUCUAAUACCUCAUAAUACAAUUUGGAGACAUCUCCGGGUUGUCAAAGGAGUGAUCCGGCAGAGGAUGGACAUGCGGCGCAUUACCUAGUCGGCGGGGUAACGGCCCACCGAGGCUACCAUGCGUAGGGGUUCUGGAGAGGACGGUCCCCCACACUGGUACUGAGACACCGACCAAACCCCUACGGGAAGCAGCAGUGAGGAAUAUUGGUCAAUGGGCGGAAGCCAGAACCAGCCAAGUCGCGUGAGGGAAGACGGUCCUAUGGAUUGUAAACCUCUUUUGCAGGGGAGCAAGGCGCGGUACGUGUACCGCGAAGGAAAAAACCCUGUGUUUGNGCCUCGGCUGGCUCCGUGCCUGCCGCCGCGGUUCUUCGGUGGCUGCGUGCGUUCUCCGGCUUUNUUGGGUUUNNUGGGUGCGCGGGCGGNCUGUUNNGUCUGCGGUNUUCUGUCGGUGCUCUUCUCCGGCCGGCCGUCUGCCCCUGGCUGCCUUGUGUGCGCGCGCCGUCUGCGGCCUGCGUGGUGUCGCGGUGNNNUGCCUNGCUUUCUUGGAGGGNCUCCNCUUNCNNNNNCNNCCUCCCNNCCCUCNNCUNNCNCUCNNNCNCNNAAGCNUGGGUAUCCCUUUAAAGGGNGCUNCCCNNNUNNUCCNCNCANNNNNCGAUCCUUUAAUGGAAUCCGGGCCGUUUAAGGCUUGGGUGCUCAAGCGAAAGCGUUAAGCAUUCCACUUGGGGAGUACGCCGGCAACGGUGAAACUCAAAGGAAUUGACGGGGGCCCGCACAAGCGGAGGAACAUGUGGUAUAAUUAGAUGAUACGCGAGGAACCUUACCCGGGCUCAAACGGAAGGGGACAGUAUGAAAAAUAAUACAUUCCUUCGGGACCGCUUCCGAGGUGCUGCAUGGUUGUCGUCAGCUCGUGCCGUGAGGUGUCGGCUUAAGUGCCAUAACGAGCGCAACCCCUAUCGACAGUUGUUAGCAGGUAAAGCUGAGGACUCUGUCGAGACUGCCGGCGCAAGCUGUGAGGAAGGCGGGGAUGACGUCAAAUCAGCACGGCCCUUACGUCCGGGGCGACACACGUGUUACAAUGGAAGGUACAGCGGGAAGCCACCCGGCGACGGGGCGCAGAACCCGAAAACCUGUCUCAGUUCGGAUUGGAGUCUGAAAGCCGACUCCAUGAAGCUGGAUUCGCUAGUAAU